CCCAGGACCUCGCUCGUGCUUCACUAACGCUCUGCCCCUGAACUACACCGCCAGCCCUUUUUAUUUUUUAUUUUGAGACAUAGUCUCGCUAAGUUGCUGAGCCUGGCUUUGAACUUGCCGUCCUCCCACCUCGGUGUCUCAGUCAGCGAUUUGGCUGCUGUGACCGAAAGACCUGACAAGAACAAUUUUAGGAGGAAAAGGUUAUCUGGGGCUCAUAGCUUCAGAGGUCUCAAUCCAUAGAGAGCCAGCUCCAUUCAUUCCUGGGAGCUCAAAGUGAGGCAGAACCUCAUGGCAGAAGAGUGUGGCGGAGAGAAGCCACUGGAGACAUCACACCAGGACGCAGAGAGAAACAGACAGAGACAGAGGGGGAGAUCCCUUCAUGGACAAAAUAUAAACCCGAAGGGCAGGCUCCGGUCACCCCACCUCCUGCAGCCACACCCUAUCCAGUUGUCACUGGUUUCCCCAUCAGGGGAUUAGUGCACUGAUUGGGUGUAGCUCCUCAUAACCCAAUCAUUUCUCCUCUGAGCUUCUUGCAUUGUCUCACUCAUGAGCUUUUGGAGGACACCUUAUAUCUAAACCAUAACACUCAGCCUCCCAGGUCACUGGGAUUACAGGCGUGCACCACUGCACCAGCUGACCUGUUCUUUUCUCAGAGAGAGAUGACAUCUCAGAGAUGUUAUCCUUGACUGUCAUGAUUUGCUGAGUCAGAGCAGCUGAAUUUGAUGCAGGUGUGAUUCUAUUUUCUUCAACAAUCAGCUCAUCCUUUUGGACUUCCUCUCAUGUGCCCUGUAGGUGUAUUUUCUUCUAUGAGAUUUCAACAAUUUACCCACUUUCCUGAAUACUCACUUUGAGGGGAAGUGAAAGCACACAGACCUGGCUGCCUGCAGCCACAGAAGCUGCACCACCUCUCAGACCACAGGGUGAGAUCCACUGAACUGCAGACAAAUGCUUUUCACUUCCUCACUGUCCGUCAGCACAGAGCUUCUGCUUUUUCUUUCCAACACAGAUGGAGCUGAACUCCUCUGGUGGGCUCCCCAGGGCUUCUCUGUGACUGCAUCACUUUAUGGUGACACCCACCUCCACAGGUGACACAGCACCUCCACAGAUGUCUGGGUGCCGAGAACCAGCUCCAUUGUCUAAGUAGCUUCAUCGAGUGAAACUCAAAUUACUAAUUUUUUAUUGUUGUUUUGGUGCCAAGGAUUGAACCUGAGGCCUUGCAGAUGCUAGGCAAGUGCUGUACAAGUAAGCCACAUCCCCAGCUCAAAUUACAUUUUUAAUUUAUCUUGUAUCCUUUUGAUUUGGUAAGC
rnacentral:lncRNA from 1 species